GGAACAGGAUUAGAUACCCUGGUAGUCCACGCCGUAAACGGUGGAUGCUGGAUGUGGGGCCCUUUCCACGGGUUCCGUGUCGGAGCUAACGCGUUAAGCAUCCCGCCUGGGGAGUACGGCCGCAAGGCUAAAACUCAAAGAAAUUGACGGGGGCCCGCACAAGCGGCGGAGCAUGCGGAUUAAUUCGAUGCAACGCGAAGAACCUUACCUGGGCUUGACAUGUUCCCGACGACCUCAGAGAUGGGGUUUCCCUUCGGGGCGGGUUCACAGGUGGUGCAUGGUCGUCGUCAGCUCGUGUCGUGAGAUGUUGGGUUAAGUCCCGCAACGAGCGCAACCCUCGCCCCGUGUUGCCAGCGCGUCAUGGCGGGAACUCACGGGGGACCGCCGGGGUUAACCCGGAGGAAGGCGGGGAUGACGUCAGAUCAUCAUGCCCCUUACGUCCAGGGCUUCACGCAUGCUACAAUGGCCGGUACAACGGGAUGCGACAUGGCGACAUGGAGCGGAUCCCUGAAAACCGGUCUCAGUUCGGAUCGCAGUCUGCAACUCGACUGCGUGAAGGCGGAGUCGCUAGUAAUCGCGAAUCAGCAACGUCGCGGUGAAUGCGUUCCCGGGCCUUGUACAC
rnacentral:rRNA from 1 species